rnacentral:rRNA from 1 species
UACGUAGGUGGCAAGCGUUGUCCGGAAUCAUUGGGCGUAAAGCGCGUGUAGGCGGUCCGGUAAGUCCGCUGUGAAAGUCGGGGGCUCAACCCUCGAAAGCCGGUGGAUACUGUUGGGCUAGAGUACGGAAGAGGCGAGUGGAAUUCCUGGUGUAGCGGUGAAAUGCGCAGAUAUCGGGAAGAACACCCGUGGCGAAGGCGGCUCUCUGGAACGGUACUGACGCUGAGACGCGAAAGCAUGGGGAGCGAACAGG